CAGCCGCCGCGGUAAUACCGGCGGCCCGAGUGGCGGCCACUAUUAUUGGGCUUAAAGCGUCCGUAGCCGGGUUGGUUAGUCUCCCGGGAAAUCUGGCCGCUUAACGGUCAGAAUUCCGGGAGAUACUGCCAGCCUAGGGACCGGGAGAGGCCGAGGGGAUUCCCGGAGUAGGGGUGAAAUCCUAUAAUCCCGGGAGGACCACCUGUGGCGAAGGCGCUCGGCUGGAACGGGUCCGACGGUGAGGGACGAAGGCCAGGGGAGCAAACCGGAUUAGAUACCCGGGUAGUCCUGGCUGUAAACGAUGCGGACUUUGUGUCGGACAAGCUAUGAGCUUGUCCGGUGCCGGAGGGAAACCGUUAAGUCCGCCGCCUGGGGAGUACGGCCGCAAGGCUGAAACUUAAGGAAUUGGCGGG
rnacentral:rRNA from 1 species